rnacentral:rRNA from 1 species
AUGCCCCCAAUCAGGCUGAGUCAGAGCCUCCUCUGGUGCAAACCCAAAGAAUGUCUGCAACCAGUAGGGGUCAGGCUUCGGCUCCCCUUCAGGCAGCACCUUCUUUUUCUGGUACUUCCUCUUCUUCUUCUUCUUUGAUGCAUCAUCAUCACCAGGCCUUGCGGUCACCACUGGAGUAAGCAGCGCCGAACGGACUAAAUCGACGACUUUCUUGUCACGCACAUCCCGGAUGAGCGCACCGACCACGAGCGCAGGGUCGGGGGAAUCAAGCAGCGGGGAGAGGUCUCCCUUGAUGUACCAGAGGUAGGGCGCCCAGCUCCGGCGGAUGCUACGGAGUGUGGCAUGCGGGGAUCGCCCAGGGCGGAAGGCAAAGGACUUGGGCGAGAACCGCGCCUCAUACACGGGCUCGAGCAGCAGCAGGAGUAG